GACGUAGGGCGCGAGCGUUGUCCGGAUUUAUUGGGCGUAAAGAGCGUGUAGGCGGCCUGGCAAGUCUCGCGUGAAAUCUUGCGGCUCAACCGCAAGCGGUCGUGAGAAACUGCCUGGCUAGAAUCCGGAAGAGGAGAGCGGAAUUCCUGGUGUAGCGGUGGAAUGCGCAGAUAUCAGGAAGAACACCCGUGGCGAAGGCGGCUCUCUGGGACGGUAUUGACGCUGAGACGCGAAAGCGUGGGGAGCGAACAGG
rnacentral:rRNA from 1 species